rnacentral:rRNA from 1 species
UACGGAGGGGGCGAGCGUUAUUCGGAAUUAUUGGGCGUAAAGGGCGCGUAGGCGGCCCGGUAAGUCAAAGGUGAAAUCCCUCGGCUCAACUGAGGAACUGCCUUUGAAACUGUCGGGCUUGAGGCCGGGAGGGGGUAGCGGAAUUCCCAGUGUAGCGGUGAAAUGCGUAGAUAUUGGGAGGAAUACCGGUGGCGAAGGCGGCAUCCUGGACCGAGAUUGACGCUGAUGAGCGAAAGCUAGGGGAGCAAACGGG